rnacentral:rRNA from 1 species
CUAUAUAUUAACAAUAUAAAUAAUUUAAAUAAACUUAAUAAUAUUCAUUAAUUUCAAUAUAAUUGAAAUAUUUAAUCCUUUCGUACUAAAAUAUUUUUAAUAUCAAAAGAUAGAAACCAACCUGGCUUACACCGGUUUGAACUCAGAUCAUGUAAGAUUUUAAUGAUCGAACAGAUCAAAAAUUUAAACGUCUACAUUUAACUUUUAUCUUAAUCCAACAUCGAGGUCGCAAACUUUUUUUUUUAUUUGAACUAAAAAAAAAAAUUACGCUGUUAUCCCUAAGGUAAUUUUUUCUUAUAAUCAAUAAAAUUGGAUCAUUAAAUCACUUAUUUAUGGUAUAAAUUAAAAAAAGUUAAUUAAAUUUUUUUAUCACCCCAAUAAAAUAAUUUAUAAUUAUUUAAAAUCUUAAAAAAAAAUUUUAAUAAAAUAAAAUAUAAAACUCUAUAGGGUCUUCUCGUCUUUUUAAUAAAUUUUAACUUUUUAAUUAAAAAAUUAAAUUCAAUUUUAUUAUUAUUUAAGAGACAGUUUAUAUUUCAUCCAAUCCUUCAUACAAGUCAUCAAUUAAAAGACUAAUGAUUAUGCUACCUUUGUACAGUCAAAAUACCGCAGCCCUUCAAUUAUAAAAUCAGUGGGCAGAUUAGACUUUAAAUUAUUAACAAAAAGACAUGUUUUUGAUAAACAAGUGAAUAUAAAAUUUUGCCGAAUUCCUUUUAAAUAAUUAAAAUUUUAAAUUAAUUUUUUAUAUAAUAAAUAAACUUUACUAAUUUUAUCAUUAUAAUUUAAUUUUUCUUAUUAAAAUUUAUUUUUAUAUAAAAAAUUAAAUAAAAAAUUAAAUUUUUAUUUUAAAUAAAAUUUUUUAUAACAAAUUAAAAUUUAUUAAAAAUAUAAAUUAUAUAAAUUUUAAUUUAAACCUUAAAUUAUUAUAAAAAUUUAAUUUAAAGAUUAUCCCUUAAAUUAUUUUAAUAAAAAUAAUUUUUAUUAAUUAUAAAAAUUAAUGAAAAUUUUCAUUAAUAAAAAAUUAAAUUUUUUUCUAUAAAAACUAGAUAUAUUUAAAAACGAAUAACAUUUCAUUUCUAAUUAACUAUUAAAAAUAUUUAUGCCACAAUAACUAUUAUUAAUUAAUUAACUCUUUUAAAUUCGAGAUAUUUAAAUAAAUAAACUAUUUUUAAUAAACUCUGAUACACAAGAUACAACAAUUAAAAUUUACUUUUAAAAUAAUUCCCUUUCAUAUUAUUUCAAAAUUCCCCCACAAUACAAAUAAACUAUAAACCUUUCAAUUUUUUCCAUAAAAAUACUUUAACCCCCAUUAAAAUAUCCCAAUAUUAAAAAUUUUUUUAUUAAUAAUCAAAUUAUUAAUUAUCCCCC